rnacentral:rRNA from 1 species
UACAGAGGUCUCAAGCGUUGUUCGGAUUCAUUGGGCGUAAAAGGUGCGUAGGCGGCGCGGUAAGUCGGGUGUGAAAUCUCGGAGCUUAACUCCGAAACUGCAUUCGAUACUGCCGUGCUUGAGGACUGGAGAGGAGACUGGAAUUUACGGUGUAGCGGUGAAAUGCGUAGAUAUCUGGAGGAACACCGGUGGCGAAGGCGGCAUCCUGGACCGACACUGACGCUGAGGAGCGAAAGCCAGGGGAGCAAACAGG